ACACUGACUGCCAAAAAGGCUUUUUUGGGAACGUUGGUGGUCUUCUUCUUUGUGCAUAGGUCUUUGAGAAAUUUGGCGUAUAUGAAAACUUGUUGGAUCAUGUCUACUAGAGGGAUAUUUACUUUCACUUGUUUAGACAUCUCUAAGAUUUGAUCCAUAUGGGCUAAAUAUCUGUUGGACCUAAGUCUAUUUGAAAAAGAAGCUACAAGAUCGAUGGGUGAUGUCUCGAAUUGCUUAAACUCUGAGGUAGAUUUUACAAGUAGCUUAGGUGGUUUGUUAAUCUCUGUUGACUUCUUAGACUUAUCUGACUCCUUAGACUCAGUCUGAUCGGUCACUUGCUCAUGAGAUGGUUUAGACAAUAGGUCAUCUUGGUCUUCAGCUAUACUGACAUGGUUGUCUAUUUAUUUUUCAGAUCUUAAGGUGUGAAUUGCAUUUAAUUGAUUGAUCUGGGCUCCUUGUCGUGGUCUUUAAUUGUUUUGAGUUCUAAGAUUAGCCUCAGGUUAACUCGAUAAUUUAUCUUUUUUUCUUUCACUCACAGUUGUGGCUAAUUGACCUAACUGCAUCUCUAAACGGAUAAUAGCCUGGGUGUUAGAAGUUAAAAGCUGCCCGUC
rnacentral:lncRNA from 1 species